GGAUGAGCCCGCGGCCUAUCAGCUUGUUGGUGAGGUAACGGCUCACCAAGGCGACGACGGGUAGCCGGCCUGAGAGGGCGACCGGCCACACUGGGACUGAGACACGGCCCAGACUCCUACGGGAGGCAGCAGUGGGGAAUAUUGCACAAUGGGCGAAAGCCUGAUGCAGCGACGCCGCGUGAGGGAUGACGGCCUUCGGGUUGUAAACCUCUUUCAGCAGGGAAGAAGCGAAAGUGACGGUACCUGCAGAAGAAGCGCCGGCUAACUACGUGCCAGCAGCCGCGGCCG
rnacentral:rRNA from 1 species